AAUGAACGCUGGCGGCAUGCCUAACACAUGCAAGUCGAACGAAGGCUUCGGCCUUAGUGGCGCACGGGUGCGUAACGCGUGGGAAUCUGCCCUUGGGUUCGGAAUAACUCAGAGAAAUUUGAGCUAAUACCGGAUGAUGACGUAAGUCCAAAGAUUUAUCGCCCAAGGAUGAGCCCGCGUAGGAUUAGCUUGUUGGUGAGGUAAAAGCUCACCAAGGCGACGAUCCUUAGCUGGUCUGAGAGGAUGAUCAGCCACACUGGGACUGAGACACGGCCCAGACUCCUACGGGAGGCAGCAGUGGGGAAUAUUGGACAAUGGGCGAAAGCCUGAUCCAGCAAUGCCGCGUGAGUGAUGAAGGCCUUAGGGUUGUAAAGCUCUUUUACCCGGGAAGAUAAUGACCGUACCGGGAGAAUAAGCCCCGGCUAACUCCGUGCCAGCAGCCGCGGUAAU
rnacentral:rRNA from 1 species